CAAGCAUUUCGAAAAUCAAGUGUCCAUCGGAAUAUCAUUAGCGGCUUUAUUAUGUCAUUUUACGAAGAAACGAGACUGCAAGAGGUAAAAAGAUUAAAGUUGUUCCAAGCGUGAUAUGGCAUCCAUUUAAAAUAGAACAAGGCCAAAUGUCCUUCCUCUCAGAAAGGGUGGUGGUACCAGCACCGGCUCCAAAAGGCCCAGUGGUGGAGCCAGCUUGGAUCAGUCUAAAAAAUAAAAACCAUCCCGGCUCAAGACCAACAAGCCGGCAGCCGAAAGACGUCCCAACUGACAUGAAGGACAACGUGGAUUUGGAGGAUGAUAACGGCAACAGACCAAAGAAAACGGUGGGCAUCACUGCCCCAAGGCAACCAGUCGACGGCUUCGAUAAGGCCACAUCACAGAAUAAGGAUGCAACCUUUCUCUACAGUUUGCUCUGGUUCUAGCAGCCUCAAUGCCCUUAUACCUGUGUUGACGGAUGAUUUUAUUGAGAUUCCCCAUGUCAAAAUUCUCAAGGAGGUGAUGGAGGAAUUUCUUGUUCCUGUCGGUACUGUUGGUGAACCACGGCAUCCUCGAAUUAAUGUGAAUAGGGGGAAUUUGUCAUUACGGAUGACCUAUCCACUAGAGGUAGCAUGGGAUGGAGGGUGCUAAAAGAUUUGGCCACUCUUGCCGAUAGGCCUGUCAGCCGGCUCGCUGCUCCUUAUGGUCAAAUGAUGAAUAACCUACUUAGGGUAAGUUAUCCUCCUUAAUGCUUCAUGUAUUGUGAUUUGUAUCUGAUAAUCAAAUAUUAUAUUUAUGUCUUGUUUUAUCUCUUGCAAUUUUGUGUCAAUGCACAAAUUGUCAACUCGGCUGUAGAGGUUGUCCACAUGUACAAAUAUUAUCAGAGGUAUGCGGACAAAGCCGAGAGUAUUGUGAAGAAGGCUAAAGACGAGUGCAAAGCGGCCGCCCUUGAGGUUUCGAACUGUAAAGUCAAGAUAAGGUUUCUUGAGAACCAGCUGACUAGCCUAGAGGAGUCAAAAAAGAAGUUGGAAAAUCAAGACAAGCUGAAAGCCCAAAUAGCUGAUUUGGAGAAAAGCUUGAAAAUCGAGAGGGCAAAGAAAGAGGAAGCGAAGAAAAAGUUUGAGUAAGCUCGUCUUGAGAAGCCUUCUAUCAGGCGUCAAGCUGUCAACCGGUUCUUGAGGUCUGAUUUAUACUGGGACAAGCUGGUUAACCGUUAUACCGGUGGGUGGGUAGCAGCACAUCGUUGCGUGUGUAUAACCGAGGGUUGGGAGGAGACGAGAUGUCAGUCAAUCGAGGAUGCUUACGGUAAUGACAAACAUCACUCUCCCACCAGCUAUGAAGAAGGAUAUUUUGCCGAUCCCCCCAGCAUUGAAACAAUGACAAAUGUUGAUCCACGUGAUAUGCCGGAUGAAAAGUUUGAUGACGCCAUUCUUGCCAGCCUUGUAGGUGAGAAAGGGCCAGAGAAAGAGUCCAAGAAGAAAAAAGGUUUAAGGGUUAGGCAGUCAUCACCAAGCUCAUCAUAUGGAUCCUCAUUUUCUUGCAACCAUUGUUAAGCUGAAUGAAUUUUAUUUGUGUUUUUGUCAGUUCUAAAACUCUCAAUUGUUAUGAACAAACUAAUCGUCUGUUUGUCUAUUUUAGCCGGUCUGAUCCUUGUACUUUUUUGGGUGAUGGCUGUUGGUUUUCUUUGUUUUAAAGUAUGUUUGAAUACUCUUUAAGUUUUAACUCUUGCUAUGUAUACAUGAUGCUUUCAGAUCAAUGAUUUAUCCCUUUUA